rnacentral:rRNA from 3 species
GAUUUCUGGCUUGAAACAUGUUGCCGGCCACGGUUUCGUGUGUUAGUGCAGCUUGUUCUGGCCAUCCUUCCAAUUGCGUCGUCCUUGUCUUCAUUGAUUGGGGCGGCGUAUUGGAUCUUUUACUUUGAAAAAAUUAGAGUGUUUCAAGCAGGCUUUAUGCUAUGAAUACAUUAGCAUGGAAUAAUAAUUUAGGACUUCGGUUCUAUUUUGUUGGUUUCUAGGACUGAAGUAAUGAUUGAUAGGGAUAGUUGGGGGUGCUAGUAUUCAGCGGCCAGAGGUGAAAUUCUCGGAUUCGCUGAAGACUAACUUAUGCGAAAGCAUU